GACAGAGGGUGCAAACGUUGUUCGGAAUUACUGGGCGUAAAGCGCGUGUAGGCGGCUAUGUAAGUCGGGCGUGAAAUCCCACGGCUCAACCGUGGAAGUGCACUCGAAACUGCAUAGCUAGAGUCCUGGAGAGGAAGGUGGAAUGCUUGGUGUAGAGGUGAAAUUCGUAGAUAUCAAGCGGAACACCGGUGGCGAAGGCGGCCUUCUGGACAGUGACUGACGCUGAGGAGCGAAAGCCAGGGGAGCAAACGGG
rnacentral:rRNA from 1 species